ensembl:lncRNA
UGUUUGUGUGACAUUUUGUGUGCAACAACCUGUUUGACAGGUUUUCAGGGAAACACCUCAUACCUCUGGGUUGCGCAGUGGAAGAGGGGCUGGUCAUCAGGAAUAUAUCGCCUAUAUAUAUAUUUUUAAAAUCCUUAUUUACUCAGAUCUAUGACUCGUAUUCUUGAAUACUCACUCACAUGAUAGGAAUCUUUACAUACAGAGAAAACAGAAGAUUGGAUUUUUCAGCAUUCAGUUUUUUUCUUCUUCACACAGUCAAUGACAAGAAAUGUGAGGAAACAAACAGAGAAAGAGAGCGAUAUGGAGAUCAGUGAAGAAGAAUCCCGUUCCUCUAGCCCAGAGGUGAACCAGUCUAAUGCGCUGCUAAAACAGGAGAGCAUUGAUAAAAGACCAAAUUUUUCUCAUGAUUCAGGUGGUCCAGAACAGUGUCGGCCUGAUAUAUCUGAAGAGGUCCGUGAUAAGGUAAUGGGAUCACAUGCUAUUCAUUAUGUCCAUUUUAAGUACUUAGUAUUGGCUGUGGAUAAAUGUUUGUGUUGAACUUUUCUCCUUAGAGCAUGAGAAUGUGACAUCAUCAGCCUGCUCUACCACCGGCACCGGCGAAAUGGCGUUACGAGGGCACAAUUGUUUUUUUUGUUUUUUUUGAAAUAUCAUGAUUUUAUCACGAUUCUUUGUCAUGUUUGUUUUUCUAUUUUGUAAGCUGUUUGAGCAUCACAGCCAAACUAAUUUUCCUAUUAUAAAGCCUUUUAAGGUAACAAAAUAUGAAAAAGUAUGGCGGAUAUUUAGGCCAAAGUGCAUGGGUAAAGAUAGAAAUCUUUGUCAUUAUUUUAUCUUUGUUAUUAAAAAAUGAGAACAAAGAUACACAUUACAAAUACAGAUAUUAUACAAAUAAAAUAAAGUGUUUUAUUUUCAGGUACAAUAGGUGUAUUUAGCAGGAGCACAAAAAAUUGAAUGAACAAAUAUAAAAAUAAAACAUUAUAAACAUUGAUUCCUAUUAAAGCAACUGUAUUAAAGUUUUUCAGUCAAGAGUAUUGAGUGAUUUUUCUCUGUGUGUUUGGUGUUUUAUUAACAUUAAAGGAAUAAUUCACCCAA